UGUUUUUAGUCUGAGAAGUGCAAUCUAUUG
rnacentral:piRNA from 1 species